GACGAACGCUGGCGGCGUGCCUAAUACAUGCAAGUUGAGCGCUGAAGGUUGGUACUUGUACCAACUGGAUGAGCAGCGAACGGGUGAGUAACGCGUGGGGAGUCUGCCUUUGAGCGGGGGACAACAUUUGGAAACGAAUGCUAAUACCGCAUAAAAACUUUAAACACAAGUUUUAAGUUUGAAAGAUGCAAUUGCAUCACUCAAAGAUGAUCCCGCGUUGUAUUAGCUAGUUGGUGAGGUAAAGGCUCACCAAGGCGAUGAUACAUAGCCGACCUGAGAGGGUGAUCGGCCACAUUGGGACUGAGACACGGCCCAAACUCCUACGGGAGGCAGCAGUAGGGAAUCUUCGGCAAUGGACGAAAGUCUGACCGAGCAACGCCGCGUGAGGGAAGAAGGUUUUCGGAUCGGAAAACUCUGUUGGUAGAGAUGAACGUUGGUGAGAGUGGAAAGCUCAUCAAGUGACGGUAACUACCCAGAAAGGGACGGCUAACUACGUG
rnacentral:rRNA from 1 species